rnacentral:rRNA from 1 species
UACGGAGGGUGCAAGCGUUAUCCGGAUUCACUGGGUUUAAAGGGUGCGUAGGUGGGUCUGUAAGUCAGACGUGAAAUCCCCCGGCUUAACCUGGGAACUGCGUCUGAUACUGGACGGCUUGAGUAUGGGAGAGGAACGUAGAAUUCCAGGUGUAGCGGUGAAAUGCGUAGAUAUCAGGAGGAACACCAAUGGCGAAGGCAGCUCGCUGGGACGGUACUGACGCUGAGACGCGAAAGCGUGGGGAGCAAACAGG